UACGAAGGGGGCUAGCGUUGCUCGGAAUCACUGGGCGUAAAGGGUGCGUAGGCGGGUCGUUAAGUCAGGGGUGAAAUCCUGGAGCUCAACUCCAGAACUGCCCUUGAUACUGAAGGUCUUGAGUUCGGGAGAGGUGAGUGGAACUGCGAGUGUAGAGGUGAAAUUCGUAGAUAUUCGCAAGAACCCCAGUGGCGAAGGCGGCUCACUGGCCCGAUACUGACGCUGAGGCACGAAAGCGUGGGGAGCAAACAGG
rnacentral:rRNA from 1 species